UCUGAAAUUCCUCUGGCUUAAUUUUUCAGGAAUAUCUCAAAAAAUUGCUUCUUCAAAGGUAUGCGCAGAUCCAACUUUUAGCAUCCCAAGUAUUGCUGAGACAGAAUCAAGCCAGAAUAUAUCUGCACACAAGCCUUUACGUGAUGCUAAUCUAAUCCUGUCCAUCCUCCGAAAACCUAUGAUUCAAGAGACCACUACCACACAGUCUAUUAACAAGAACAUCAUGAAUCCAAUCCCCUCGGUGAAGGAGCCUCGCGAUUCAGUUCCAGUAAAAAUAUUCUUGAAUGUAAACUGCCAAGGAUGUCAAUUGCACAUCAGGGAUCAAGUGGAAAAUUGGAUAAUAUCAAAUCAAAAUGCAC